UUGGAGGGCAAGUCUGGUGCCAGCAGCCGCGGUAAUUCCAGCUCCAAUAGCGUAUAUUAAAGUUGCUGCAGUUAAAAAGCUCGUAGUUGAAUUUCGGGACCAAUAUGUCGGUCGUGCCUCGGUACGUACUGGCAUCGUUGGUUUCUCCCUUCUGACGAACCAUGAUGUCAUUUAUUUGGUGUCGUGGGGAAUCAGGACUGUUACUUUGAAAAAAUUAGAGUGUUUAAAGCAGGCUCACGCUUGAAUACAUUAGCAUGGAAUAAUGAAAUAGGACGUUUGAUUCUAUUUUGUUGGUUUCUAGGAUCGACGUAAUGAUUAAUAGGGAUAGUUGGGGGCAUUAGUAUUCAAUUGUCAGAGGUGAAAUUCUUGGAUUUAUUGAAGACUAACUACUGCGAAAGCAUUUGCCAAGGAUGUUUUCAUUAAUCAAGAACGAAAGUUAGGGGAUCGAAGACGAUCAGAUACCGUCGUAGUCUUAACCAUAGACUAUGCCGACUAGGGAUCGGAUGAUGUUAAUUUUUUAAUGACUCAUUCGGCGCCUUACGGGAAAC
rnacentral:rRNA from 1 species